rnacentral:rRNA from 1 species
AGCAGCCGCGGUAAUUCCAGCUCCAAUAGCGUAUAUUAAAGUUGCUGCAGUUAAAAAGCUCGUAAUUGAAUUUCGGGACUAAUAUGUCGGUCGUGCCUCGGUACGUACUGGUAUUUUUGGUUUCUCCCUUCUGACGAACCUUGAUGUCAUUAAUUUGGUGUCUUGGGAAAUCAGGACUGUUACUUUGAAAAAAUUAGAGUGUUUAAAGCAGGCUUACGCUUGAAUACAUUAGCAUGGAAUAAUGAAAUAGGACGUUUGAUUCUAUUUUGUUGGUUUCUAGGAUUGACGUAAUGAUUAAUAGGGAUAGUUGGGGGCAUUAGUAUUCAAUUGUCAGAGGUGAAAUUCUUGGAUUUAUUGAAGACUAACUACUGCGAAAGCAUUUGCCAAGGAUGUUUUCAUUAAUCAAGAACGAAAGUUAGGGGAUCGAAGACGAUCAGAUACCGUCGUAGUCUUAACCAUAAACUAUGCCGACUAGGGAUCGGAUGAUGUUAAUUUUUUAAUGACUCAUUCGGCGCCUUAC